GCAUCGGUCGUCUAGCGGCGAAGACCCCGUACUCGUACUACGGCGACGUCGGUUCGACUCCGGCCCGAUGCU
rnacentral:tRNA from 1 species